GACGAACGCUGGCGGCGUGCCUAAUACAUGCAAGUAGAACGCUGAAGAGAGGAGCUUGCUCUUCUUGGAUGAGUUGCGAACGGGUGAGUAACGCGUAGGUAACCUGCCUGGUAGCGGGGGAUAACUAUUGGAAACGAUAGCUAAUACCGCAUAAAAUUGAUUAUUGCAUGAUAAUUAAUUGAAAGAUGCAAUUGCAUCACUACCAGAUGGACCUGCGUUGUAUUAGCUAGUUGGUGAGGUAACGGCUCACCAAGGCGACGAUACAUAGCCGACCUGAGAGGGUGAUCGGCCACACUGGGACUGAGACACGGCCCAGACUCCUACGGGAGGCAGCAGUAGGGAAUCUUCGGCAAUGGGGGGAACCCUGACCGAGCAACGCCGCGUGAGUGAAGAAGGUUUUCGGAUCGUAAAGCUCUGUUGUAAGAGAAGAACGGGUGUGAGAGUGGAAAGUUCACACUGUGACG
rnacentral:rRNA from 1 species